UGGUAGUUAGUUUAAACAAAAUUAAUGAUU
rnacentral:tRNA from 1 species